UAAUUUUUAAAUAUAUAUAUAUAUAUAGAGUUGAUCUAGGAUACUUUUACAAGUAUCAUCCCCAUGUUGCUAUCACGUUUUUAGCCAUUGGAUCUACUUUUUGAUUAUAAAUAGCCCUUGGAUCAAACACUAUUCCACCUACCACCACCUACCCACCACCUACCCCCAUCAUCUCAACCUCACAUCUCUCCAUCCAAUGGUUAAAAACACACAAGUAUCACUUGGGUGAUACUUGUAAAAGUAUUCUAGCCCUACUCUAUAUAUAUAUAUAUAUAUAUAUAGAGAGAGAGAGUCUAGCUAUGGUGCUUGUAAAAGCACCGAGCACUUGGUGCUUGUAAGUUUGUUACUGUUAGAUUUACUUCUCGGAUCAUUUUCAAUCAUUAGAUUAUACUAUUCAACCAACCACCCACUCAACCCUAGGGGCCCACAUCAUCCUAACCGCACAUCUCUUAAUUCAAUGGUUAAAAAUCUACAAGCACCAAUGACUUGGUACUUUUUAAAAGCAUAGGAGCUCAAUUCUAUAUAUAUAUAUAUAUAUAUAUAUACAUAGGGUCCGGCUACUAUACUAUUAUGAGUACGAUCGCCCUCGUACUCAUAAGUUGUUUUUGAUGAUAGAGCUUAUGAAUCGACGAUCCACACCGUUAAACGUUAUUUACAGCAUUUAAAAUUUCUAGAAAUCAAAUUUUAUAAUUUUUCGACAUCAUUUACCUUACGAUCAAGAGGUCACAAAUUUGACAAUUUUUAACGGCCGGUAUGGGAUACU
rnacentral:lncRNA from 1 species